GCAGUCGACGCACCCUUCGGGGUGAGUGGCAGACGGGUGAGUAACGCGUGGGAACGUACCCUUUGGUUCGGAAUAGCCCUUGGAAACGAGGAGUAAUACCGAAUGAGCCCUACGGGGGAAAGAUUUAUCGCCGAAGGAUCGGCCCGCGUUAGAUUAGCUAGUUGGUGAGGUAAUGGCUCACCAAGGCGACGAUCUAUAGCUGGUUUGAGAGGAUGAUCAGCCACACUGGGACUGAGACACGGCCCAGACUCCUACGGGAGGCAGCAGUGGGGAAUCUUGGACAAUGGGGGCAACCCUGAUCCAGCCAUGCCGCGUGAAUGAUGAAGGCCUUAGGGUUGUAAAAUUCUUUCAGUGGGGAAGAUAAUGACGGUACCCACAGAAGAAGCCCCGGCUAACUCCGUGCCAGCAGCCGCGGUAAUACG
rnacentral:rRNA from 1 species